GGCACCUCCUACUGCACGAGCUCUCGGCCAAUGAAAAUCCCGCGUCCACCUGGUUGCGCCCGUUCUGGGAAGAGGUUCGUUGCCCUGUGGUUUCUCCUUCUGCGUCUGUUUUGUUUCUGAGCCACGGUGGCCGGCUUUGGAAGUAGUGGGGCCGGACCUGUUUCAAAGGAGCCAAGGGAAGUAUCCUGUUGGAUUUCAACGGACACUAAAUGGGCCUUGAAGGAAACCGUCCAGGAAAGGCAGAUCAACAGGUCAUGAUCUCACGGUUCCUGAGUUCGAGCCCCGCGUCAGUCAGCACAGAGCCUGCUUGGGAUUCUGUCAAAGCACGUACAGUUAAAUGUUUUUCCCACAGAAUUGCAUCGCGCUGUACCACACAGAUUUUCGGAAACCUAAGACGCGGUAUUGAACUAAUUCUACAUCUAACUCCAAUUGUAAUAAAGUUAAUACAUGCAGACGGUC